CAUUGCGGGAGGCUUACCAUGCAGUCGAGGGGUAAGGUAGCAAUAUCUGAGACCGGCGCACGGGUGCGUAACGCGUAUGCAAUCUACCUUUUGCAGCGGGAUAGCCCAGAGAAAUUUGGAUUAAUACCGCAUAGUAUAUAGCGUUGGCAUCAACACUAUAUUAAAGUCACAACGGCAAAAGAUGAGCAUGCGUCCCAUUAGUUAGUUGGUAAGGUAACGGCUUACCAAGACAUCGAUGGGUAGGGGUCCUGAGAGGGAGAUCCCCCACACUGGUACUGAGACACGGACCAGACUCCUACGGGAGGCAGCAGUGAGGAAUAUUGGACAAUGGGCGCAAGCCUGAUCCAGCCAUGCCGCGUGCAGGAAGACGGUCCUAUGGAUUGUAAACUGCUUUUGCACAGGAAGAAACACUCCCUCGUGAGGGAGCUUGACGGUACUGUGAGAAUAAGGAUCGGCUAACUCCGUGCCAGCAGCCGCGGUAAUACGGAGGAUCCAAGCGUUAUCCGGAAUCAUUGGGUUUAAAGGGUCCGUAGGCGGUUUAGUAAGUCAGUGGUGAAAGCCCAUCGCUCAACGGUGGAACGGCCAUUGAUACUGCUAGACUUGAAUUAUUAGGAAGUAACUAGAAUAUGUAGUGUAGCGGUGAAAUGCUU
rnacentral:rRNA from 1 species